UAUGUUAGAAGGAACAGUAUAUCUUAAAGAAAUGAACAGUGAAGACCUUCAUACCUCAUGUUCAUCAAGAUAAUUAAACCAUAUCUUCAUUUCAGCAGAAUAUUCAACAAGACAAAAAAACAAGCUGUGUGUGGAGUCCUGAUGGCUUUUUGUCUACAGUCCUCUAUAAACUAUGUGUCGUGGCAUUAAAGCUGCGUUCAAGAAGCUUCUCUGUAUAAUUGCUUGAAAGGCCCGUUUGAAAAAGAUAUUUCCUUCUUUAGAAGAAAGACUGGGUUCGCUUUUCAAUAAAAGAAAUCAUUUAUUGGUGUCCCUUUGUGUGUAAAUGUGUCUUUUUCAUAUGACAGUGACAGAGCUUUUAAGUGUAUGACUGUGUGUCUGUGAAUGUUUCAUGAAUAUUAUGGGUUUUCUUUUGUUUGUCUGCACAGACUCAGUCCAAAACAAUAAAAUGAACUGAAUAUA